rnacentral:tRNA from 1 species
GAAGGUAUAGCUGAGUGGUAGAGCAUGUGCUUAAGGCCCUGGGUUCAAUCUCCAGUCCCUCCA